CACUAAUGGUGUCAAAGUCUCAAGAAAUUGAAAGUUCUUCACCUUUAUGUCACGGCUUGCUUGUCCGGAUAGCAACAUUUCAGACUUUCAGUCCCUUGUGUGAUUUUACCCUUCUCUUCCAUUGUAGAAUUAUACCUUCAGUAGGAUCAUUUCUUAUUAAUCGUUCUUGAAAAGGUGAAACAGAAAUAUCAAUCAUUUUGGUGAUCUGCUUGGACUCUGGAAGGCUAAUUUUGACACUUCAAUUUUUGGAGUCCCUUUCUACUGCCAAAUAGCAACUGGGUCAAUUUGUAUGUUCAGUAUAAAUUUACUGUUUUUAACUCAUAUUUUGUUCAGUUGAAUAACCCAUGAGUGGCACAGAUACUUCCCGUAGGCCACAGUUCAUCAGUGUGCUUCCACCAGAUUCCAUGGAAAAGUUGGUUAGUGACAGUAACAGUGCUUCCUUUUCUUUUGCUGAACUUUGUUUUAUUUUACUAGAAUGGUCUGAUUUUAAUCUGUUAAUGUGCUCGUGCAGCUAAUUGCUGCUAAGUUUGUGCAAAAUUACAUGUGUAAGGGGCUCAUGAACAAUCGUAUGGCCAUCCUUUUUGGCCCCUUGGGUAAAAUUUGUCAAGUUGAGCUCAAGAUCAAUGGGCCAGACAACUUUCCUUCAGGUGGUUGGUCACAAUUUCUUGAGCUUCAUGGCAUCACUGAAGCUAAUUGUCUGCUAUUAAGGUAUGAGGGUAACAUGGCGUUUACAGUCAAAAUUGUUUGGGCCUGAUGGAUGCCAGAUAAAGUCCAAACACAAUGGUAUCAGAAUUCAACAAAUAUCAACAGUACUUGAUAUUGAAAUGCAGCAGGAGUUACCCUCUGCUUCCAUUCAAAAGUGUGAGAGGAAGAAAGAUCAACUAUGUAGUGAAGAAUGGAAGAAACCAAAAGCCUCCAUGACUUCUCUGAACAAGGCUCCAUUCCAGAAGAAAUCCUUCUAUGAGAUUGGCCCCCCAUCUUGGAUAAAGAAAGUGAUCAACACCAGCACACUUAAAUAUCAUCUUUCUUUGGCCAAAGAUUUCUGCAAUGCGAUUGGGUUGCGGGAAACUUGUGUGAUCACUCUCAAGACCUCUAUGGACAGUACUGAAUCUUGGCAGGUGCAUGGUCGCACAAGCGAGAAUUCCAGCUACCUGAUCUCACAUGGUUGGAAGAGGUUCUGUCAGGAGAACAGUCUCAAGGAAGGAGACAUUUCCACCUUCUAUGUCGUUGGAACUACACUGUGGCAUGUUGUUAUCAUGUCUAAUACAUUAACAUAUACUAAAAAUGCAGCAGGAAACCCCUUCUGCGGCCAGUAGCAAGUGCAAGACUGACAAAUAUAUUUCAAGUAGUUAAGAACAGAAGGGGCCAAAUGGUCCCCCUGACUCCAAAUAAGGCAUCAUCUAAGGAAAAAUGUGCUUUUGAGAUUGGGCCACCAGCUUGGGUG